rnacentral:rRNA from 1 species
GAGUCGUGCCUGCCCAGUGAAUAUUUUCAACGGCCGCAGUACCCUGACUGUGCUAAGGUAGCAUAAUCACUUGCUUUUUAAUUGAAAGCUAGAAUGAAUGGCUUGACGAAAACACCGCUGUCUCUAUUAUAUUAAAUAAAAACUACUUUUUAGGUGAAGAAGCCUAAAUACCCUCAAAAGACGAAAAGACCCUGUCGAGCUUAAAUAAACUUUUAAAAUAAAUUUAUAGUAAAUCUAAAUUAAAACAAAAUUUUAGUUGGGGCGACGGAAGAACAUAUAAAGCUUCUUUUAAUUUUAAAUACUGAUAAGUUAAUUUGAGCCAUUAAUAAUGACUAAAAGAAAAGCUACCGCAGGGAUAACAGCGUAAUUUCUUUGGAGAGCUCAAAUUGAAAAAGAAGUUUGCGACCUCGAUGUUGGAUUAGAAAUUCUCUUUGGUGCAGCCGCUAAAGAUGAGGGCCUGUUCGGCCCUUAAAUUUCU